rnacentral:tRNA from 1 species
AAUCCAAUAGCUGGUAAAGCACUUGUCUAGCGAAUAAGGGUCGUGAGUUCAAAUCUCACCUGAGCUG